UUUACGCAACUAGGAAAGGAUAAAUACUGUAUUAUGAAUGAUAAACUAACGGUGUUAAAGAAUAAACAUUUCGUGAAGUAGUCAAAGAUUUUAAAGGAUUUAUCAUGGACUCUGAGUUGCUGCGUGGCUGGGAUGCAGAGCGGGUGGAGUUAAAGGCAGAGUUAUCCAGGCUGGAGGAAGAGCUGGCUGAGAGUCGGGCAGAGACAGAGCAACUUCGAUCUCGAUCAAAUGUGCUGACUGAACGGUUGUCUCAGACAUUGGACUCAUCCAUAUCUCUUCGUUGGGAAAGUGAACAGAGAGAGUGGAGAAAGAAAAUGAGAGAGGGAAAAGAGCGAGAAUCAAGACAGGCUUUGCUCAUUCAGAAACUGCAGCAAAAGGUGAUGGAGUACAGGCAUCGCUGUGAAUGUCUGCAGCAGCACGUGAUGACCGAGGAGAAAGAAAUGAGAGUCCGAGAGAGGAUUUUUCAAGAUGAGCGCAGCGAUAAUCUGGAGACCACCCUUAUCAGGCUGGAGGAGGAGCAGCAGAGGAAUGUAACGCUGGUUGAAGUAAAUGCACUGUUGCGCUGUCAGCUCAGCCAAUCAGCAGAAGCAAACCAAGUACUGCAGGAUGACUUGAAGAAACUGACUGCUGAUUGGUCCAAAGCAGUGGAGGAAGCAGGGGAAAAAGAAAUGGAGUGGAACAAAGAGAAAGAGGUCUUUUCUGGGUAUUUAGAAGCAGAGCGUUCAAGGUUAAUGUCACUCUGGAGCAGAGUCGUGGCUCUCAGACGCCACUGUCAUGCGGUCAAAAUUGCAACAGACAAAGACUUAUGGGAAUUGAGAGCAGAGUUCACUCGCCUGUCAUCCACUUUUCUCUCUUUGAAUGUCCUUCCUGCUCUCUCUUCAACUCAUUCUCCUCCUCCUCCCUCCCACACUUCUGAACCAAUGACUCUGGUGGAAUUAGAUCAUGAUGUGGAGAAGCUCACAAGCAGGAUUGAUGAGUUGACAGCUGUUAUGAAGUCUCAGGAUCUGGAGAAACAGAGGCAAGAGGAGGCAAUGAAGAGCAGCAACAGAAAAGAGGAAGAAGAGCGAGAGCUGCAGCAGGAGAAAUACAGAGAAAUGGAGAGAAAAAUAGAAUCAAUUACACAAGCCAUCAGAAAACUGUACAGGGUUUUGGGUGCCCAGAGGUCAGAUGGACACAAAAAAGGUUUUUCUGAUCCUGGUGUGUUCAGUGAUGAUCUCUACUCUGUCCUGUGGGUUAUCGCUGAGGCUGAGAGUGCCUUCCAGUUGGGACACCAAGAACUGCAGGACGCUGAGGGGAAGUGGCGCAGGUUGAGAGUGGAGACAGAAUCACUGCAGCAGCAAAUCACAGAGCUUAAAAAUGAAAGGGCGGAUUUUCAGAAACAAGCCAGUUUGGAAACUCUAGAGUUAAAGCAGACACAAAGCCUAUUGAACAGUGAAAAAGAAACAACUUUGAGUUUAAAAAGGCAGCUGGAGGAAUCUGAGUGCCGCAGUGAAGAGCUGAAGAAAGAAAAUAUACGGUUGAUACAGCAGAGAGAGAGGGAGGAUGAGGAGAGGAGUGGAAUAGAGAGAGAGCGACAGAGACGAAUGGAGGCAGAUCUUUUGGAAAAUGCCCAUUUGUGCGAGCAACAGAGUCGCACUCGUAUAGAACUACAUAACCUGCAGGUGGCGCUGGAGCAAGAGAGACUGGAAAAGGCGCGUGCAGAGAAGGAGUUAGCAGACACCAGGGACGCUUUAGCCAAGGCACGUGAGUCUGUGCUCUCUCUCUCCUCUGCACACACUUUACUGCAGAGGGAAACCUCAGAUACGUGUGAUUCUUUGGAGAAAAUGGCCACCUUAAACGAGUCACUGGCACAGGAUAAAAGGGAGCUCAGUGCCCGAAAUCUUCAGCUGGAGGAGGAGGUGACUGAAUCUCAAUUGCAGCUGCAGCGUUUCAGAUCAGAUGUAGCAUGUCUGCAGAAGGACCUGAAUGCUGUUUCAGAAGAAAACACAGAGUUAAGGACUUGCCGAAAUGCAGAUCUGGACUCCCUUCAUCGGCUUCGAGAGAAGGAAAGAGAAAUGGAGGGAGAGCUGCAGAUACUGAGAGAGGAAAACGAGAACAAAUCUAAUGCUCUUGAUGAUGAGAAAAGAAAAAAUGAGCAGUUCUCUGAAAAGUACAGAAGUGUGUCUGAGGAGCUGCAUACUGUGAAGUUGAAGCUGGAUAAAGAGAUGGACCAAGAGAAGAGGGCACAGAGAGAGAGAGAAGAGCUACAGAGAGAAAACCAGAGACUAGAGGAACAAGUGCAUAGUGUAGGGCAAGAGAAGGAGGAAAUAAAACAAGACAGAGAGGACCUCAGGAAUUUUAAUGGCAUCCUCCAGAAGCAGCUGUGUGUGGCAAAGGAACAGAUUUCUGUACUGGAGGUGCAGCACACACAACUGCAAAUGCAGGUUCACACACUCCAGCAGGCCAAAGAUGUUCUACAUGGAGAGAUAAAGUGUCUUCAGUCUGAGCUGGAGAGAAACUCAUUCCUAAGGGAGGAAGAGAGAAGAGGAGCAAGUGAAGAACAGAUGCGGAGUGAAAAAGAGAUUGAAAACUGUCAGUUGGAGAUCAGGAGGUUGAAUGCUGAAGCCCUAACAUCAUUGAAAAACCAGAGAAUACAUGAAGAAGACAGAGAAAAGUGGCAAAAAGAAAGAGAGGCUCUGAACUCUGAGCUGGGACUGAAAGAUGGGGAGAUGAGGGCUCUAAAAAACAGGAUGGAUGGAUUGGAGAAAGAAAAUGAAAAGCUUGCAGUCCUGAUUGGUGAAAAAGACGGACAUGUGGAGAGACUGUUGUCAGAAAUCGGGACUCUGGAGCUGCAGAUGCAAGAAGCAAAAGCUGAGAUGGAACAAUGGAAGGAGACAGUGAUAGACAUUGAGAGAGAGAAGGAGAGACUUUUGGAAAAAGUGAAUCAAGACAGUGAAGAUCUGAAAAUAAGUGAAAAAGAGAUUGAAAACUGUCAGUUGGAGAUCAGGAGGUUGAAUGCUGAAGCCCUAACAUCAUUGAAAAACCAGAGAAUACAUGAAGAAGACAGAGAAAAGUGGCAAAAAGAAAGAGAGGCUCUGAACUCUGAGCUGGGACUGAAAGAUGGGGAGAUGAGGGCUCUAAAAAACAGGAUGGAUGGAUUGGAGAAAGAAAAUGAAAAGCUUGCAGUCUUGAUUGGUGAAAAAGACGGACAUGUGGAGAGACUGUUGUCAGAAAUCGGGAGUCUGGAGCUGCAGAUGCAAGAAGCAAAAGCUGAGAUGGAACAAUGGAAGGAGACAGUGAUAGACAUUGAGAGAGAGAAGGAGAGACUUUUGGAAAAAGUGAAUCAAGACAGUGAAGAUCUGAAAAUAAGUGAAAAAGAGAUUGAAAACUGUCAGUUGGAGAUCAGGAGGUUGAAUGCUGAAGCCCUAACAUCAUUGAAAAACCAGAGAAUGCAUGAAGAAGACAGAGAAAAGUGGCAAAAAGAAAGAGAGGCUCUGAACUCUGAGCUGGGACUGAAAGAUGGGGAGAUGAGGGCUCUAAAAAACAGGAUGGAUGGAUUGGAGAAAGAAAAUGAAAAGCUUGCAGUCUUGAUUGGUGAAAAAGACGGACAUGUGGAGAGACUGUUGUCAGAAAUCGGGAGUCUGGAGCUGCAGAUGCAAGAAGCAAAAGCUGAGAUGGAACAAUGGAAGGAGACAGUGAUAGACAUUGAGAGAGAGAAGGAGAGACUUUUGGAAAAAGUGAAUCAAGACAGUGAAGAUCUGAAAAUAAGUGAAAAAGAGAAUGCCAAGAUGGCUGACAUCUUGAAGUUGAGGGAUGGCGAGAUAGAAAAGAACAGUAAACACAUAGAGGAAUUAAUAGAGAACAUAAGAUUGCAGGACAGUUUAAUAGAAAAAGUAAAAAGAGAGCUUAAAGAAAAAGAGAUUGGAAUAGCUGCUAAAAUAAACAAAGAAAAAAUAAAACAAAAAGAAAGGGAGGUAGAGGAGAGAGAAAAAGAGCUGAAGCUGAGAGAAGAGCUAAAAAAGAAAGAAAAUGACUUAGAAAGAUUCAAAGACAACAUGGAAGAAUUGAAAAUGGAAUCACGACACAUGUCUCAUCUUCUGCAGGAAAGAGAUACUUACCUAGAAAAGCUUAAGAACAAAGUCAUGGAUCUGGAACAGGCAAACAGAGAAACACAGGAUGAGAUGGAGUGGUGGAAGAAAAAGGCUGGGGAUGUGGCAAAAGAAAAAGAAGUACUAAUAGAGAGAAUGGAAAACCACAUUUCUGUUGAACAAGAGAGGGAUGAAUUGGUAGACCAACUGAGAGAAAGAGACAAAGAGAUUAAAAAACUGAAGAGAAAUGAACAAGAUAUGGUGAGUGACCAUGACAGGAUGAAAGAAGAGCACAGAGAACAAGCAAAAGAGCUGAAGCAGAGAGAUAGAGAGGUAGAAGAACAUAGAAGUACAAUAGAAAUGAUGAUAAAAGAAAAAAAUGAACAGGAAGAAUGGAAAAUGCAGCUAGAGGAAUUGAAAAAAGACAAGAUGAGUCUAGAAGAAAAGAGAAAUCAGCUGGAGGAAGGAGGCCAAAAGAUGAAGGAAGAGAUUAAUGUGCUUCAAGUGAAGAUUGCUGAGCUGGAUAGAGAAAACAGAGAAGCUGAAAGGAAAGUGCUAGAGCAAAAAGAUCAGCUCCAAAUCCAGACUGUUCUUCUCAAAGAAAGAGAGGUAGACGUAAGCAGACUGAGAGAGACUUUAGAACGGAAAGAACAGCAGGAAAAUGAGGAACUGAUGACAUUAAAAGAAAAACUGAAGGAAACUAAAUUGGUCCAGGAAAAAGAAAGAAAUAUACAAAAGGAAUAUGAUGAACAAUUCCAGCUGGCAAGAGAUAAAAUAGAUCAAGUAGAAGGAAAAGUGAAAGAACUGGAAGUAACAAAGAAAAAUUUGACACAAGAGGCAGAUGUGGUGAGAAGAAAACUUGAGGAACAGUUGAAAGAAUUGGAGACCAAGUCAAGGCUUCUGCAAGAAAAUGAAGACAAUGUUAAGAAAUUAAAAUUGAGAGUGGAGAGUGAGGAACAGGAAAAGGAACAACUGAAGAGGUCUCUUAAGGAAACAAAGGGAGAAUUGGAGAGGAUGAAGAUCGAACUGAAAGAAAGAAAAGAAGAGGAAGAAAAGCUGAGGUUAGAGCUAGAGCAACAAAUUGGAGAUCUGGGAGAAGAUGUAAGGAGGAAAGAUGGAAUUAUUGAUGCUGUGAAGGAGAAAACAGAUUUCAUUCUAAAGCAAAAAGAAGAGGAGUUAAAACAAGCCAAGAAAAAUAAAAAUGCAAUGUCAGCAGAGGUGACAAAGCUAAGAGAAGAAGUAGCAGUACUUUCUGUGAGCAAAGAGAAGGCAGAAACAAUGGUGAAGGAACGGGAUAUAGAGAAUAAAAAGAUAAAAGAUGGACUAAAAGCUGGAUUGGAAGAGAUGGUCACUCUGAAGGAGCUGCUAGAGGAGAGCCAUUGUGAAGGAGAAAAACUCAGGAAGAUCUUCGAGGAGAAAAAGAGCGAGAUGAUAAAGGGAAGAAGAGAGGAAGUCAGAGCAGCACAAGAAGAAACAGAAUAUCUAAAACUCAGAGUUCAGAUACUCCAGAAGGAGAAUCAAGAACUUCAGGCACAGCUGUGGCUCAGGGAGGAAAAUGACAUUAAGAUGAACUGUGAAGUUAAAGACACAAAGAAAAUGGAGCUAGAGGUGCAGGAGACUCUGAGGAUGACACUGGAGGAAGAUGCAAAAGAUAAAAAUGAUGAACGAAAAAAAGGUGAAGAAUUGCUGAAAUAUGAGGAAAUUAAAAGACAAAGUCAGCUGAAUGAUAGUUUUGAACUCAGUGAGAAACUGAAAGAGGAGGAGAAUGAGAUUAACAGAAAGAAGAAUACCAUGGAAGAGCAAGAAGCUGCCAUGAUGAAAAGUAAAACAGAAAAGAAACAGACAAGUUUUGAACUUGUCAAAGACAAACUGGAAAAGAAGAGGGACAUGGAUACUAUGAAGAAGGAAAUGGAGGCAAAUGAGAAGAUAAAACAUGUAGAAAAACAAAGUGUUAAAAAAAUCAUGUUUGCAGCAGAAACUCUUCCUGAAAAAGAAACGGAAUUGAAAAUAAUUACAGCAUUUAAAGAAGAAAAUGCAAGGCAUCUGUUAGGGGAACAGCUCGGGGAUGCACAAAUGGAGACGGACAUUUUGAAAACGCAAAUUGAAAGAGAAAAACAAAAUGUAAUGUCAAAUCUGGAGAAAGAUAUACUUGUGGAGAAGAUACACAGCCAGUUUCAAGCAAACUUAACAAUAGUAAAUGCACAGACAAGAAAAGACUUUCAAAUGAAGGACUCACAAAGUCCGACUCGAAUGACAGAGAAUGCAGAAUUACAAGCAGUGGUAUAUGAUUUAAAGAAGGAAGCAGACGAGCUCAGGAAAGACCGAGAUCGCUUAAGAACAGCACUGGGAAAAAAUGAGGCAAUGCUAAUUCAUUAUCAAGAAAAAGCACAUCAGCUGGAAAAAAAGUUGCAGGUUAUUAACAACUGUGAAGAGGAGUCACGGGAACGUGUAUGUGCCCUGCAAAGAGCUGUGGCUGAGCUGGAACUGAAGCUAAUGAAAUUACAACAGAGAAAUGAACGGCUAGAACAUCGUAUUGAGAAGCUAAGAUUGGAGAAAAUGAACUUACGAGACACUUUAAAACAGUCUGCUCUUCAGGAAGUAAAAUGCUGCUCAACUGGGGGUCUGGCUCAAGGUCUGGUGAUUGACUUGGCCAGUCUAUAACCUUCUACAUUUUUCCCUUUUGUUGUAUUGGCAGUGUGUUUUGGAUCAUUGACAUGCUGUGUUAUGAAGUUCCUCCCAGUUACAACCCUGGUGCCAAAAAGUUGGGACAAUGUGCAAGACAUAAAUAAAUAACUAAAUGUUAUUUGCAAAUCAUGGAAACCCUAUAUUUAAUUGAAAAUAGUACAAAGACAGCAUAUCAAAUGCUGAAACAGAUUUUAUUUUUCUUUGGAAAAUUUAUUGAUUUUUGAAUUUAAUGCCGGCAACAUGUUUCAAAAAAAGUUGGGAUGGGGCAACAAAAGACUGGAAAAGUUGUGUAAUGGUUUAAAAAAAAAAAAAAACACCUCGUGGAAUAUCUCACAACUAAUUAGAUUAAUUGGUAACUGGUCAGUAACAUGAUUGGGUAUAAAAAGAGUAUCCUUUUUAUAAAAGAGGGGGAGGGGUUCACCACUCUGUGAAAGGCUGCAUGAGUAAAUAGUGUAACGAUUUAAAGUGUAUGUAAUGCCUCUAAACCACACGUUUUUCCUUGUACAAAGCAACAAUCAUUAUAUUGCUUGAUCAUGUGUUUUCGAACCAUAGCUGACCCAAAAGGCCAUAAAUUGAUAGAAAAUCAAUAAGAUCAGCCCAUUUUCACAGAAUCUGCCAAGACCUGAACCAGAAGAUCCCGAAGGGGUGCAUGAUGUCACAUGUGUAACAAGGAUCCAGGUGUCAGUUUCGUUCACAUGCGCAGCAGUGGUUAGACUAGUCUCGAUAUGGAAUCACGUUUUGGAGAGAAUUCUGAUAGAAAUUGGAAUUCCUAUAUGUCGGAUGAAGGGGCAGAAGGUUAUCAAGGACAUUCCAGAAUGAAUAGUUAUCUUUUCGAGCCCCCAAGACGAGAAACUGCCAGUUCACGACAGUCCCACUCACCGCCGACCGUGCAUCACCAGCCAGAGAGAAUUUAUUCUAAGCUGGCCACUGCAAAAUAUAAGGAAAAUAUUUACAUGUAUCUCAAUAAAUGCAGAAAUGUAAUAUUUAAAGCAUACACUUAUUCAGUGUGUCAGGGGAUGGUAGGAGGCGGAUGUAAGUGCAGAAGUACGUUUUAUUAGUAAAAAGUGACAAACAGGGAAACAAUACAAAACAGCAGGUAAGAUCAUAAACGAGAAACAAGCAAUGGCUCGGGCAAGGCACAGAGUAUCACAGGCACAGACCAAAAUCGGAAACUAGGAACAGGGAUCAGAAAAUCAGGAGAUCAACACAGAGAAAAAAGGCUCACCAAAGUGUACAAAUGUCAUGUAAUACUUCGCACCGAGUGUACAUUGACACAGUCCUUUUAUAGGCACACUGAUGCGUCUUAAUCACGCACAGGUGUGCAUAAUUAACAAUGUGCGUGUGAGCAUCCGCUUGGCUUGCACGCAGUCCAGAGCACGCCUGAGAGUCCUUCUGGUGCACGUGCCAAAGCGUGCAGGACUGACAGUGUAAUUACUGAAAGAAAAUAUGAAGUGGGUAAUAAUAGAGGAAUCGAUGAACUGUCCAAAUGUCAGAUCAAAUGUCAUUUGUUAAAUAAAUGGGUUUCUUUUUUGCUCCAAUAAUUAUCUGGUCGUGAUUCUGUCUUGAUUUGGCUAGAUGCAGUGGUAUGGUGCAACAGCUGGAAAAUUUAAUUAGAUUUAUAUAAUCAUGUACCCGUACCACUAUAUUUACCGAUUAAAUAUAAUUAUUUUAUAAUGAUAGAAAUAUGCAAAUAUUAGUGUCCAUCAUUUCGUGCCUUGACUCUAAGACCAAUGUAAAUAUAUUUUAAUCAAUCUAGAUCAUUAUGGAGCUUUAUUAACUGAUGAUAAUUAAAAAAAAAGAUGCAUAUUUACAUGGACUGUCAUCAACUUGUCCACAGUUCCUCAAUGUAAAAUUGCAAAGAAUUUGAGGGUAACAUAGUCUAAGGUACAUAAUACCAUUAACACAGUCAGAGAAUCUGGAGAAAUGUCUGUAAGCAAGGGGCAAGGCUGAAAAUCAACAUCAGAUGCCUGUAAUCUUCGGGCCCUCAGGUGAUGCUGCAUUAAAAACAACUAAGAUUCUAUAGUGGAAAUCGCUGCACUGGCUCAGGAACACUUCAGAAAACCAUCGUCUGUGAAUACAGCUCGUCAUUGCAUCCACAAAUGUAAGUUAAAACCAUAUAUAAACAAUAUCCAGAAACACUGCUGCCUUCUCUGGGCCUGGAUGAGAGGGACUAUUCGGCUUGCUAUCAGUGCACAGUUCAAAAGCCAUCAUCUGUUAUCCUUUUUAGACCAACAGGGAACGGGUUCUUGAACUGGUUCUGUUCAGGAUUCUUUGAACUUUGGUGCCAGCUUGUGAACCAGCCCACGUUUUCACCAGUUUUGAGUGCAACCAUUGUCAUCAAGGAUGCCUCAUGAACGGAAGGUGUUGCACAAUUCACAAUGGGAGUAAACAGCAGUAGCAAGAUGGCAGAGCGCAUAUCAAUGCAAUGGUAUGCAAUACUUGCAAGCUUUUGCUCUGUUAUUGCAGAUAUUUGUUUUCAGUCCCUUUUUUUUCUUCUGUAGAUGCAUCUAUUUCCAUUGUGGUCUCCACUGCUGUGCUCUACUUCCUCUCCAAAAUAAUGACACCCCCAAUGAUGUCACGGUUCACGCUAAAAAAAAAAAAAAAAAAAAGCUAUAUUUUGCUUCCAGCUGGAAACCAACUUUUCAGGUUCUGAACCAAGUUAUUUUUGGUCGAAAUGCUCUGAACCUGUUCCCUGUUGGUCAAAAAGGGGUAUCUGAUGAUAUUGGGGGCAUUAGUGCACAUGCAUGGGUAGCUUGCACAUCUGGGAAGGCACCAUUAAUGCUGAAUGAUAUACUGUAUACAGAUUUUGGAGCAACAUGCUGCCAUCCAGAUGAUGUCUCUUUCAGGGAAGGUCUUGCUUAUUUCAGCAAGACAAUGCCAAACUCCAUGAUUAUUUUUCUUUUCCAACAGGUUGAGCUAGAGAGGGAGAAAUUGAGAUGUAAACUGUCACAGUCAAAUGCUGAAAUACAGGAGUGCAGCAGUCCUUCUGGAACUGAUGAGCUGAA